CCGCCACCUGGUGUCGAGGCCGCGCUCUCGAACGGAUGUCUCCCAGGUCACCCAGGUUCUGAGGGCGGAGACAGCGCCUUGGGCUCCAGAUGAGGAAUUGGGGGCAGAAGAAAGUUAAGUUACCUGCUCAAGGUCACACAGCUCAUGAGGAAACUGAGGCCCAGGAGUGUUCAGUCACUUUCCCAAGACCACCCAACCAAUAACUGGCAGGCCUGGGGCUCGAAACCAGUUCUGGAAGUCAUGUCUGAAAUGAGCCUCAGGGGGCUAAAAUCAAGGUGCCAGCAGGGCUGUUUCCUUCUGGAGGCUCCAGGGAGAAUCUCUUCUCUGCGUCUUCCAGCGUCUGGAAGCUGUCCACAUUCCUGGGCUCGUGGCUGCUUCAUGCAAUCUCUGCUUCCAUCAUCACAUCUCCUUCUCUGACUCCGACUCUUCUGCCUCCCUCUUAUAAGGACCCUUGCGAUGACAGUGGACCACCAGGAUAAUCCAGAAUAAUAUCCCCAUCUCAAGAUCUUUAAUUUAGUCACACCUGCCAAGUCUCCUUUACCAUGGAAGGGAGCACAUCCCGGGGAUUAAGUCAUGGGUGUCUUUAGGGGAGGUGGGCAUUAUUCAGGCUCCCACACUAGAUAAAGCAGAUGCAGGGGUCUCAGUCUCCUAUGGAAUUCCUUCAGGAAGCAAAUCCUGGGGUGCCUUUGGGGAGAGCUCCCCUUUGCACUCACUCUCUCCCCCUCUCCACAGCACCUCAGUUGAACUGAUCACCAUUUCUAGUUAAAUCAUUAUUGACUGUUUACAUUAUUACGACUAUGUCAUAGAGUUCACAGCUGGGCCAGGUAGUGACCUACAGCUACAUUUUCUUUCUGCUAUGGGCUUGUUUUUCCUAAGGUUAAUAACUGCUUUGUCUUUCAUUGGCUUACUUUUCUAUGCACUUGUCAACAUUUCAUUCCCAGAUUCUGACAUAACCAUGAAACUCUCACCAUGAUCAACCACCCCGGAGAAUCAUCCUCAUGACACUCAAAAGAACCUCACGGGUCACCUUGGAAGGACGCUGAGGAACUGACCCCUUUUUUUGAAAACUGAUAAAUAAUGGAAAGAA